rnacentral:rRNA from 1 species
GGCAACGGGUAACGGGGAAUUAGGGUUCGAUUCCGGAGAGGGAGCCUGAGAAACGGCUACCACAUCCAAGGAAGGCAGCAGGCGCGCAAAUUACCCAAUCCCGACACGGGGAGGUAGUGACAAUAAAUACUGAUACGGGGCUCUUUUGGGUCUCGUAAUUGGAAUGAGUACAAUCUAAAUCCCUUAACGAGGAACAAUUGGAGGGCAAGUCUGGUGCCAGCAGCCGCGGUAAUUCCAGCUCCAAUAGCGUAUAUUAAAGUUGUUGCAGUUAAAAAGCUCGUAGUUGAACCUUGGGUCUGGCUGGCCGGUCCGCCUCACCGCGAGUACUGGUCCGGCUGGACCUUUCCUUCUGGGGAACCUCAUGGCCUUCACUGGCUGUGGGGGGAACCAGGACUUUUACUGUGAAAAAAUUAGAGUGUUCAAAGCAGGCCUUUGCUCGAAUACAUUAGCAUGGAAUAAUAGAAUAGGACGUGCGGUUCUAUUUUGUUGGUUUCUAGGACCGCCGUAAUGAUUAAUAGGGAUAGUCGGGGGCGUCAGUAUUCAGCUGUCAGAGGUGAAAUUCUUGGAUUUACU